UACAGAGGUCUCAAGCGUUGUUCGGAAUUACUGGGCGUAAAGGGCGCGUAGGCGGCCUUCUAAGUCGAACGUGAAAUCCCCGGGCUCAACCCGGGAACUGCGUCCGAUACUGGAAGGCUUGAAUCCGGGAGGGGGAUGUGGAAUUCCAGGUGUAGCGGUGAAAUGCGUAGAUAUCUGGAGGAACACCGGUGGCGAAGGCGACAUCCUGGACCGGUAUUGACGCUGAGGCGCGAAAGCCAGGGGAGCAAACGGG
rnacentral:rRNA from 1 species